rnacentral:lncRNA from 1 species
AUGGCAGGGAAAGGAUUCUGGGAUGGCCCCAGUGAUGGGACAGGGCUCCAGCUGCAUGGGGGAUGCUUGGAGAGCUCUUGCAGAGCCGUCCUGGAUGCUGGCCCUGCUGUGUGCAGGGGAAGACAAAUUCAUCCCCACCAGCAGGGCAGCCCAGGUGUGGAGGUCACCAGCUGCGUGUCGGAGCUUGGAUUGUUCUGGAAGCCCUGGAAAGGCGCCGAGGCAGGGCCACACGGGUCCAGCAGAGCCCCCAGCGCCCCAGGAAGCUCCGCAGCUCAGCCCGUGCCUAGGGCCGGCUCCGGCAGCAAACGGCGACGGCCGCGGGCGGGCUGCUCCCCCCCCCCCCCCCCCCCCCCCCCCCCCCCCCCCCCCCCCCCCCCCCCCCGCGGGCGGGCUGCUGCCGGGAAGGGCGGCUGCCACGCAGGAACUGUGCAGGGCGUAGGCGCCCAGGGAGCCAGGGCGCUGGGACACGGCGUUACAGCCCGCCAGCGUCCAGCCGUCCCCACAGGACACUGUCACCUAACGGGAGAGAGGCCGGCAUGGCUCAGCAAAGGGCCGUGUUCCCACGGGUCAGGGGGAUGUGACUGCUGCCACCCGGCUGGGUGGGAUGGGGUGUCCCAUUACAGGUGCGGACAGCCACAACGGGCUGAAGACACGCCGAAGCCCAUCAGCGUGGCAGGGGGACAGGCGGAGACAAAAGACACGGCACCAGGCGGAGGAGCGUGGCCCAUCCCUACCUUCUCCUCGGGCUCCAGGGCCGUGUGCUCCUUCAGCUGGCACUCGAGGCUGGCAGCGGGGCAGCACAAGGCGUGUGCCAUCACCCCUGUCCUGCUGGCACAGCGGCUGGGCCCCCUCCCCUGCCCCACCACGGGCCUGCCACCGGCACCCAGCACCACGGAUGGGGAGUGGAAACUGCACCCUGCCCGGGGGAGAGGGGACACUGGCACAGGGCAGACACAGCAGCAUCCCAAUGCACACGCUGGUGCCAAGGAUGCCCCAAGAGAGCCCUCAACCUUCCCCACUCCAGCACACAGCACGUGUACCCCUUCCCUGCCACCCCAGCAACCCCACCCACCCUUUCCUCCCAAAUCCCAGCGUUUUUCUGGAAGAAACACCCUUGUCCGUCAGGCUCAGAGGUGUGUAACCCCGCGUGUUGGGUGUUACCAGUCAGCACGUGUUCUCCUGGCGAGCACUCGGCCCCCUCGGCCGCCGGGGAGCUGGCACUGA